GUUUAUCAAAAACAUGUCUUUUAGAAUUUAAUUUAAAGUCUAACCUGCCCACUGAGUUAAAUGGCCGCAGUAUUCUAACUGUGCAAAGGUAGCAUAAUCAUUAGUCUUUUAAUUGAAGGCUGGAAUGAAUGGUUGAAUGAAAUAUUAACUGUUUCAUUAAAUUUAUUAUAGAAUUUUAUUUUUUAGUGAAAAAGCUAAAAUUUAUUUAAAAGACGAGAAGACCCUAUAAAUCUUUUUAUUUUAUUGGGGUGAUAUUAAAAUUUAAUAAACUUUUAAUUUGUUUUUACAUAAAUUUAUGGAUAAUUGAUCUUUUAUUAAUGAUUAGUAGUUUAAGUUACUUUAGGGAUAACAGCGUAAUUUUUUUAGAGAGUUCUUAUUGAUAAAAAAGAUUGCGACCUCGAUGU
rnacentral:rRNA from 1 species